UGGGGAAUCUUGCGCAAUGGGCGAAAGCCUGACGCAGCCAUGCCGCGUGAGUGAUGAGGCUUAGGGUUGUAAACUCUUUCACCGGGGACGAUAAUGACGGUACCCGGAGAAGAAGCCCCGGCUAACUUCGUGCCAGCAGCCGCGGUAAUACGAAGGGGGGCUAGCGUUGCUCGGAAUUACUGGGCGUAAAGGGCGCGUAGGCGGAUCAGCAAGUUGGGGGUGAAAGCCCGGGGCUCAACCUCGGAAUUGCCUUCAAAACUGCUGAUCUAGAGUACGGGAGAGGUGUGUGGAACUCCGAGUGUAGAGGUGAAAAUUCGUAGAUAUUCGGAAGAACACCAGUGGCGAAGGCGACACACUGGCCCGUUACUGACGCUGAGGCGCGAAAAGCGUGGGGAGCAAAACAGGAUUAGAUACCCUGGUAGUCCACGCUGUAAAACGAUGAUUGCUAGUUGUCGGCAGGCAUGCCUGUCGGUGACGCAGCUAACGCAUUAAGCAAUCCGCCUGGGGGAGUACGGUCGCAAGAUUAAAAACUUAAAUGAAUUGAC
rnacentral:rRNA from 1 species